rnacentral:tRNA from 1 species
CCUUCGAUGGCUCAGUUGGUAGAGCGGUGGACUGUAGAAAGGUAGCAAGGUGGCGAGUAGAAAUGCAUUGCAAGGCAUCCGGAUCACACCUGAAAACAAUAGAAAUCCAUAGGUCACUGGUUCAAAUCCGGUUCGAAGGA